CUCCUGUCUCUGUCACAUCUAGGUGUUUGAUAGAAGAAAACGAGCCGGAGGCAUCUUGAGAAAGAUCUGACGAAAGGAAGAAAGAAUCCCCUUUUUUUUGUUGGUGCACCGAGGGCAACGGUCAUGAAUUAAGGGGGCACCAGCACCUCCCGCCCGGGACGAGUCUCCGGCAACAGAGGCCUCAUCCGUAGCUGAGGACGAGGAGAUCCCGUCCACCUCCACGGCUCGUACGGCGUCUCCCGCCACGUGUCGGAAAGGCCACGAGGAGUUUGCCGCUGCUUCUCCCCAGCAGGAGCCUAUAGGCUAGACGACUUCAGAACGCGGAGCGGACGCGCUACCAACCGAGCUACGGACAGAGACGUGAAGUCGUGACGAGGUCUACCACAAGUCAGUGAUUUAUUCCCGAUUUAUU